rnacentral:rRNA from 1 species
AACGCGAAGAACCUUACCAAGGCUUGACAUCCCUCUGACCGAUUUAGAGAUAGAUCUUUCCCUUCGGGGACAGAGGUGACAGGUGGUGCAUGGUUGUCGUCAGCUCGUGUCGUGAGAUGUUGGGUUAAGUCCCGCAACGAGCGCAACCCUUAUCUUUAGUUGCCAGCAUUUAGUUGGGCACUCUAGAGAGACUGCCGGUGACAAACCGGAGGAAGGUGGGGAUGACGUCAAAUCAUCAUGCCCCUUAUGUCUUGGGCUACACACGUGCUACAAUGGUUGGUACAAAGGGCUGCAAGCCAGCGAUGGUUAGCCAAUCCCAUAAAGCCAAUCUCAGUUCGGAUUGUAGGCUGCAACUCGCCUACAUGAAGUCGGAAUCGCUAGUAAUCGCAGAUCAGCAUGCUGCGGUGAAUACGUUCCCGGGUCUUGUACACACCG